CCUACGGGUGGCUGCAGUGGGGAAUAUUGCGCAAUGGGCGAAAGCCUGACGCAGCGACGCCGCGUGAGGGAUGAAGGUCUUCGGAUCGUAAACCUCUGUCAGCAGGGAAGAACGGUCACUGUGCUAAUCAGCAGUGAAUUGACGGUACCUGCAAAGGAAGCACCGGCUAACUCCGUGCCAGCAGCCGCGGUAAUACGGAGGGUGCGAGCGUUAAUCGGAAUUACUGGGCGUAAAGCGCUCGUAGGCGGUAUGUCAAGUCAAGGGUGAAAUCCCCGCGCUCAACGUGGGAACUGCCUUUGAAACGGGCAAACUGGAGUGUGUGAGAGGAUAGUGGAAUGCCAGGUGUAGGAGUGAAAUCCGUAGAUAUCUGGAGGAACAUCAGUGGCGAAGGCGACUUUCUGGACUGAAACUGACGCUGAGGCACGAAAGCGUGGGGAGCGAACAGGAUUAGAUACCCGGGUAGUC
rnacentral:rRNA from 1 species